rnacentral:rRNA from 1 species
ACGUAGGGGGCGAGCGUUAUUCGGAAUUACUGGGUGUAAAGGGUAUGUAGGCGGCCCUUCAAGUCGCGUGUCAAAGUCCAGUGCUCAACGCUGGGUGUGCACGCGAUACUGACGGGCUUGAGGGCUGGAGAGGUGAGCGGAAUUCCCGGUGUAGGGUUAAAAUGCGUAGAUAUGGGGAGGAACGACAGCGGCGAGGGCGGCACACGAGAGAGGUUCUGACGCUAAGAUGCGAAAGAGGGGGGAGGAUACAG